GGGUAGAAGCCAUUUGCUCCCAUUGUGUUUCUAAGCCUGAGAAUAUGCAUGACUCCUGUGAGCGGGUCCUUUACGUGAGUGCUUUCAGAACACGUGAAUAAAUCUACCUAGAGAGAAAACUGAACAUCCAGACUGGUCUUCCGCAGCAGCUGCCGAAGGCAUUUGGCUUGCAUGGAGAAAAAUGAGUUGAUGUGCUAGAAGGGGGUCUGUUUUGUAGAACAAUGACAGCAGCAAUCCAAGGGAUGAA